UGUUAAAAAUUUCAUUCGUUUGUAUUGUUAAAACUAGUAUAACUGACGGAAUAACUAAACAGUAAUAUGUGACAUAUCAUAUGUACUUUAUGCUGACGUGCAAGAAUUAAUUUUUAACAGUAGAAAUAGAUAAAAUUUUUAAUA
rfam:Gossypium raimondii Chr01_contig_1311, whole genome shotgun sequence.